UACGUAGGGGGCAAGCGUUGUCCGGAUUUAUUGGGCGUAAAGAGCGUGUAGGCGGCCAGAUAGGUCCGUUGUGAAAACUCGAGGCUCAACCUCGAGACGCCGAUGGAAACCAUUUGGCUAGAGUCCGGAAGAGGAGAGUGGAAUUCCUGGUGUAGCGGUGAAAUGCGCAGAUAUCAGGAAGAACACCCGUGGCGAAGGCGGCUCUCUAGUACGGUACUGACGCUGAGACGCGAAAGCGUGGGGAGCGAACAGG
rnacentral:rRNA from 1 species